rnacentral:rRNA from 1 species
UACGUAGGUCCCGAGCGUUGUCCGGAUUUAUUGGGCGUAAAGCGAGCGCAGGUGGUUUAUUAAGUCUGGUGUAAAAGGCAGUGGCUCAACCAUUGUAUGCAUUGGAAACUGGUAGACUUGAGUGCAGGAGAGGAGAGUGGAAUUCCAUGUGUAGCGGUGAAAUGCGUAGAUAUAUGGAGGAGCACCGGUGGCGAAAGCGGCUCUCUGGCCUGUAACUGACACUGAGGCACGAAAGCGUGGGUAUCGAACAGG